AUUGCACGCUGGCGGCAGGCCUAACACAUGCAAGUCGAGCGGAGCGGCGGACGGGUGAGUAAUGCCUAGGAAUCUGCCUGGUAGUGGGGGCUAACGUCCGGAAACGGGCGCUAAUACCGCAUACUCUCAUAUUAGCCUAGGUCGGAUUAGCUAGUUGGUGGGGUAAAGGCCUACCAAGGCGACGAUCCGUAACUGGUCUGAGAGGAGGAUCAGUAACACUGGAACGGAGACAAGGUCCAGACUCCUACGGGAGGCAGCAGUGGGGAAUAUUGGACAAUGGGCGAAAGCCUGAUCCAGCCAUGCCGAGUGUGGGAAGAAGGUCUUCGGAUUGUAAAGCACUUUAAGUUGGGAGGCGUUACCAACAGAAUAAGCACCGGCUAACUUCGUGCCAGCAGCCGCGGUAAUAC
rnacentral:rRNA from 1 species